rnacentral:lncRNA from 1 species
AAUAAACAGCAAGAACACAAGAAUGGAUCAAAAGAUGUCGAAUGAUUAAUAAACAAUCCUCAGAAGAGCUCGAUAAAGAACUUCUAUUGUAGAGGAUUUUUGGGUUUACAAGAACGAUGAAGAAAAUCUUUUAAAGCCAUCGUAAUUGCUAUCAAUCGUUAACCUAAUAUGCAUGCAAGCACAUUAUUAUAUACUAAACCCUAUCAGCUCACGGUUGGAAAGGCCCAAACCNAUCAGCUCACGGUUGGACAGGCCCAAACCGGAGUACAAAACAUGGACUAUUAACCGAGCCCAAUAGACGCAAUACAUCAAAAAUGCUAUGCUAUGCUACCCAACA